GACGAACGCUGGCGGCGCGCUUAACACAUGCAAGUCGAACGGAAAGGCCUGCUUUCCCUUGUGGAUUGCGGGUACUCGAGUGGCGAACGGGUGAGUAACACGUGAGUGAUCUGCCCCCAACUUGGGUAUAAGCCUGGGAAACUGGGUCUAAUUCCCGAUAGGACUGCAGGGUGGUGCCUGUGGUGGAAAACGAUUUUCUAGUGGUUGGGGAUGAGCUCGCGGCCUAUCAGCUUGUUGGUGGGGUAAUGGCCUACCAAGGCGGCGACGGGUAGCCGGCCUGAGAGGAUGGACGGCCACAUUGGGACUGAGAUACGGCCCAGACUCCUACGGGAGGCAGCAGUGGGGAAUAUUACACAAUGGGCGGAAGCCUGAUGCAGCGACGCCGCGUGGGGGAUGACGGCCUUCGGGUUGUAAACUCCUUUCGACCGCGAGGAAGCCACCUGGUUGGAAGGGUGGUGACGGUAGUGGUAGAAGAAGCACCGGCUAACUACGUG
rnacentral:rRNA from 1 species